AGAGUUCGAUUAUGGCUCAGGAUGAACGCUGGCGGCGUGCUUAACACAUGCAAGUCGAACGAAGCACUUUAUUUGAUUUCCUUCGGGACUGAUUAUUUUGUGACUGAGUGGCGGACGGGUGAGUAACGCGUGAGUAACCUGCCCUGGAGUGGGGGACAACAGUUGGAAACGACUGCUAAUACCGCAUAAGCCCACGGCCCGGCAUCGGGCUGAGGGAAAAGGAUUUAUUCGCUUCAGGAUAGACUCGCGUCCAAUUAGCUAGUUGGUGAGGUAACGGCCCACCAAGGCGACGAUUGGUAGCCGGACUGAGAGGUUGAACGGCCACAUUGGGACUGAGACACGGCCCAG
rnacentral:rRNA from 1 species